CACGUAGGGUGCGAGCGUUGUCCGGAAUUAUUGGGCGUAAAGAGCUCGUAGGUGGUUUGUCGCGUUGUCCGUGAAAACUCACAGCUCAACUGUGGGCGUGCGGGCGAUACGGGCAGACUUGAGUACUGCAGGGGAGACUGGAAUUCCUGGUGUAGCGGUGGAAUGCGCAGAUAUCAGGAGGAACACCGGUGGCGAAGGCGGGUCUCUGGGCAGUAACUGACGCUGAGGAGCGAAAGCGUGGGGAGCGAACAGG
rnacentral:rRNA from 1 species